rnacentral:rRNA from 1 species
CCUACGGGGGGCAGCAGUGAGGAAUAUUGGUCAAUGGGCGGAAGCCUGAACCAGCCAAGUAGCGUGCAGGAUGAAGGCCCUACGGGUGGUAAACUGCUUUUAUACGGGAAUAACGCGCCUUACGUGUAGGGCUUUGCAUGUACCGUAUGAAUAAGGACCGGCUAAUUCGGUGCCAGCAGCCGCGGUAAUACGGAAGGUCCGGGCGUUAUCCGGAUUUAUAGGGUUUAAAGGGAGCGUAGGCCGCAUGUCAAGCGUGCGGUGAAAUGUCCGGGCUCAACCCGGGCCUUGCAGCGCGAACUGGCGUGCUUGAGUCCGCGGAAAGCAGGCGGAAUUCGUGGUGUAGCGGUGAAAUGCUUAGAUAUGACGAAGAACCCCGAUUGCGAAGGCAGCUUGCUGCAGCGGAACUGACGCUGAUGCUCGAAAGCGCGGGUAUCGAACAGGAUUAGAUACCCGUGUAGUC